GGACAGUAAAAGUAAAAGGGAUAGGAUUAUUCCUCUUCCGCUGCUGUCCUCUUCCCUUAAUAAUCACGAGGGAUCGGUGUCUUUCAUGGGAGCAGAGGAAAGUGAAACUUCUGUGACUUCAAGGAGUGGACACAGGUAUUAUGCAUGCAGUGUUUAAAGGAAACUCAACAGCUGGGUGGUUUCUUUAAAGUUCGUGCCACAUCCUGUAGGAUGUUAGAAUGAGCUGCUUAGAACACCAAGAUGGGAAGUUGGUCCUGCCCUGAAAAGCUGGCAAGUUAUAUCUACCAGUAAAAAUGUUUUUAGACCACAGAGCACAGGGCAGCCUCCAGGGAAGCCAGCAUGCCUCAAACCACUGGAGGACUCUACCACUGCAGGCAGCCUCUGUGGAAGAUGAGGAGAGAUUCCAGGUCAUCACAGAUGACCUCCAGAGUGACCAAUCUCAUCAGAAAUCAGGUGAGACAGUUAUGCUGACUUUGAUUGAAAGCAAUGAGAAAAGUUCAAGAUGUUUUAUGACUUGUGUGAUUGAGGCAAAGAAUCACGGACCGAGGAGGAUUGUAUCCUGGAUCAAAUGAAGUCUGGGAGUUAACUUUCUUGUUUAGAGGUUUAAAAUUGAAUGAAGCUCAGAAAGCUAUCAGGUACUUUUAGUACAAGUUCUGUCAUCUCUGCAGUUUCGUCUCAAUUUCUCACAAGAAAUAUCCCACCAUAAGUGAUGAAGAAGGUCUUACCAAUACAGUGAUAUCUCAUUAUCAUAAAUAACUAAGUAGAGCAGAAAAUCAAUUUGUUUGGCAUAUAGUGGCAUUAUAGUAUAUUGAAAUAUUUUCCUAUGGCUUUAAGAGAAAAUGGCUUCAGAGUGGGCACUUACAAAUUUAAUUUAUCUACCAAUCUGCCAAAUCUCCCCUUCCAAAGGGAAGGAUAUUACAUAUGGUCAGCUUCUAAAAAGUACACUGUAAUAUUGUAAUAAUUAACAUAUUGAUGGACAUAUUUUGCAUAGCAUCAUCUUUUGCUCCCCUGAUUUUAGGAAAACUACUAAGCAGUGGAGAAAGUAGAAAAAAGUAUUCUCCACCCUCUGCCUUAGUACAAGAGUAAGUGUGAUGACCAUUUCCUAGGUAAUAUAUAUUUAUUAAUUUUUACUUAAAAGAGCACAGUAGUCCUACAUUGAAACUGAUUCAGCUACCAUCUCCAAACUACUGAAUCCCAGAUCUAAAGAAUGUCACCUAUGGACUUUUUUCUAUCCUUUCAUAAUGAUAUAUUUGGUUGCAAUAACGAUCUGCUCUAAAUUAAUGGAUUUGACUGAUAGAGCUGUACAUGACUAAAACAGAAUGCUUUAUCAGACAUUCUUCCCUGUCCUGAGGCAUAUUUUACCACCUGGCCUUUCAUGGAGGCCCAGAUUCAUCACCAUCACCUUAGACCUCCUUAUAGCUAAGUUUCAUCUUAGUCCUGUAGUUCGUUUACGAGUAGCAUCUUUCAGAUGAUUCUUUGGAUGGUUAGGAAAACAUUUCAAGUUCUUGUCUAAGCUCUUAACCUCUUAUAUCUCAAUUGCCAUAAUACUAUUUCUUCUUGCUUUGACAAGUUUAUCAUGUGUCUUCACUUUUGUGCCUUCCUCUGAGUGGACCCUUUACUUGAAACUUACUGAAAACAUUUAAAAGGUGACCUCAUUAAAUUAAAAUAUUUAAAACUCUCUCUUGUUAUAAUGCCUAUGAAAGAAAUGAAAAAGAAUAUCAGGCUGAGGUUGUUCUAUGGAUGUUGCCUUUCUUACUUUCAUGCUUUCUUUGUGUACCUGUCUCUACUUACAUCUCUCUGUUUUCUCCAGCCUGAUGCUUUGAUUUGCAGUUUGGGAAAUGAGUGUUUUUUGUCCUUUUGCACAGCAGACACCCACUCUAUGAUAUGGGAUCCCACACUGUGGUUAAAAAAAAGAGUGCUUUAACAAACAAUUCAGUUAGGAGUUGAGUUGUGAAUAUACAGGCUGGUAAAUUUUUACAUGUUUAAACUUACCUUUUUCUUUUUGUCUUGCAUAUAAUUGGUGACUGUGACAGCAUUUGACUUUUUAGCUUGUUUUGUCUGUUUCAGACAUGCAAAGCUAGAUUUAAGAGGUCAGACGGAGGAAGGGCUCAAAUUAUGAGAUUCACCUGGCAUAAAGAUACCUAAUCUGUGAUUCCUAACCUGACACACACAACAGUAAUCAGACAUUAGCCGCAGUAAGCAUCUAAGCAUUUUCCUCUGAGAGCUGCCUUUGUUUCUCUGGGUGUGAGGUUUUGGAGAUGUUCUCUUUAGCUGUCUCUUCCACAUCAAAGUAGAUCACUCCUUGAGGUGCAAGCUGUCACUACAGCUUACAUUGUACCUUCAAGCAUGGAUUCUGCUCUGCAAGACAGACAUGUAGAAGGUAAGUGCUGUAAUGAUCUUAUUCUACUGCAAAGGCUAGAUUUUGGGUUUAAAAUUAAAAUCGUUGUCAUUUCUCUUCCAGUUGGUUUUUCAGGAGUUGCUUAUCAUUUUGAUUUGAUUUUUGUGUGUUUCCCAUAAUCUGGGGAAAGGUAUUCAGAUAGCUGGCAAUAAAGUUGCUGUUGUAUGACA
rnacentral:lncRNA from 1 species